ACCUAGUGAUGUGGGCAUAUUUUCGGAGCAGGUCCCCAAAGUGCUCCCAAGUCUCAAAAAAGAGUUCCCUAUCCAUUUGUGAGAAACUUGUGAUGGCUCUCUGAAGCU